rnacentral:rRNA from 1 species
GAUGAACGCUAGCGGCAGGCUUAAUACAUGCAAGUCGAGGGGCAGCAUGAGUAGCAAUACUUGAUGGCGACCGGCAAACGGGUGCGGAACACGUACAGAACCUUCCUUCGAGCGGGGAAUAGGCCCGGAGAAAUCCGGAUUAAUACCCCAUAGUAAAUUGAAAAGGCAUCUUUUUAAUUUUAAAGAUUUAUCACUUGAAGAUGGCUGUGCGCCUGAUUAGGUAGUUGGC